rnacentral:lncRNA from 1 species
UUAAGUCUAGUGAAAUGUGCAUUAAGUUUAUAGGAGUUGCUUGGAACCCUUUGAUGCAUUGCCUUCCUUGAUAUCCAUACCUUUAUAGAUACUUCUGAUGAAGUAUCAAAAUAUGAUUUACAAAAUUUGCUUAGCCUUGCUUAGAGGUAAAUCUUGUGGAUAGAGGUUGUCCUUUGCGUUAAUGCCUAGCUCAGGGGUUAUCCUGAGGAAGGAUGGCUUCUGCCUGCAAGAAUAUUUUCAUUGGGAGCAAUGGUGGGAUCUUACUGCAAAGUUCCCUUUGAUGCUCUUUUCAUCCUGAGGAAUACAAACAAUCCUAAGGGUGGAAGUACUUAAAUCGGGACUUGGGCUAGGAACAGGUGAUGCUCCGCCCGGGUCAAUUAAGGAUUGGAUGCGUAUGUAGGCCUGAUAGAUCAAGGACUAUCUUAACUGGCCACAUGCCCUGGAAAUGGGACAGGGUAAGCUUGAACCCGGCUAUUCCAUACGUGAAAAGACAACCGCGCACUGGGCGUGGGAGAUGGUGGGAGUAGCGUGUGCCCUCCUGGCUAGAGGCUGGAUGGAGGAGUACUGUGCUCCCGGGUAGCGCGGACCGGUUCACGUUGUGGAGGAUCUGUGGGAACGGUUGACAUAUGCAAGGGUUAAGUGCUACAUAUGUCGUGUGGUUAGAGAUCCUCAGCUGAGUAAAUCGAUUCGGAUCGCCGUUAUAUCCCCGGAGAGUGGAGACUUGAUCACUGACCUGCAACCUAAGUCAGGAUGUGAACCUCAUGAAUAAAAAUGAUGUUGUAUUGAUGAGAUGGUGAAAUUAGACCAGAUGCAAAUAGAGUCUAUUAAUAUUUAAUCUGGCGUUAAAAUAUUGAAAGUAAGGACUCACUUUAGUAAGCUAUUUCUGCAAAAGUAUCUAAGUUGAUUCUUGCUAAAGCCUCUCCUUGAUUCCCAAAUCCAGCAUACCCUUGAGAGUCUUUUCUUUAGUCGGGUAAGUCUUGCUGAGUAAUUCCAUACUCAGGGUUUUAUUCCCUGUUGUUUUUCAGGUUCUAACUUUGUGCUGCUUUUGAUGGUGUUAAGUGCCGGUGGGCUCGGCCUUCUUAUAUAAGUAUAACCCGUCUUUAUCUUCUUACUGAGGAUGGUCAUUUGAGCUAGCAUAUAUUUCAAACUUAUACUUUUGUAAUCACUCCGAUAAAAUAAUAUAAAAUUUUUGUAACUUGUAAAAUUUGGUAAUAAGAUUUCCACUGCAAAAAUAUUGGUGUGUGUGAUUUGUGUUACUUAAUCCCGCGGUUCUGGUUGUAAGUGGUUUAUCCGGUGUCCUUGGGGCAAUCGGACGGAUCCUGUUAAGUUAUUUAGUGCACAUGCAUAGUUGUCUAAGGUCUUUGAGACAAGGACAGGUGCAUGUGGGCCCAAUAACUUGGGAGGUUCUGCCACAGCUGGUAUCGGAGCAGGAUUAAGUAUAUACGGUCACAUACAUAUUUUCAAAACAAAAGUUUUGGUUUUGGAAAACCUAUUUUCAACUAAACACAUUGUUUGGCUUUGAAAAACAGUUUUGAAAAACUAUAAUGCUAGCGACAUCCUCUAUUAAGCCCUAAAUUAAGGACUAUCAGGUGGCUUAGUUGAAAACCAUAACUGGGUGGAUAUUGCAUACAUGUGUAUUGUUAUUUUUGAGGCCAUUCAGUUUUGAAUGGAUCGAUGCUCAGGUAAGGUGAGAUGUGAGAGCAUGACCGAACAAACGUCGGUCUAGGGAAGAGUAUAAAAAGCGCUUGAUUAUAUACAUGUUCCAUAUAUGUAUAUAUGAAGGCUGCGAUGUGGAGUAUUUACUUUUCCGGGAAUUCAGUACCCCAUGGAUGUGUAUGGGUAUACAGACAUGGGAAUACUGAGAAAUGUAUUGUACUUGUAACGACGCACCUACGCUCAGGUAAGAAGGUGAGUUACCAUAAUGAGUUGCCCUAUGGUUAAAGUGUGGCAACGGCGCCUAUGCGUGGCUCAGCGCUUAAUGAUGAGCUGGCCUCCAUAUAGCAAUAUAUGGAGUAUAAACUGUGAUAAACUGUCAUGUGUGAAUUGCAUCAUUGGGAAAUUGGGUUGUGAUGAAAUUUUCUGCAGGUACACUAACCUCGAAAACGUAUGUGUAGUUGACGACUAGCAAAAUACCGAGAGAGAACGUAUGCCACCGGUAUAGAACGUUAUUGCCACAUUAUGUUGGCAAAAUCAGUGAGGACGUGUAGGACGAGCAUGCAUCCAGAUUGUUGCAUCAUGUUUGUCACCUAUACAUCCAAAAUGCUUCUCUCAUCCUUAUUCCAGAAACCAGUGAUUGUAGAUAAUCUGGUGUAAUGUUGAAUUAUAAACUUCGAUGUAAUAGCUGUCCUCCGUUCUUUAGGUAAUCUAUUUAGGUGUUAUAUGUGUUUGCUCUUGUGCUUGAUAUGUCGAUAGAAGGUUAGUAGUUUGGUUACCUAAACCCAAAACUAGGCUAUGUUCUUGUCUAGUGAGUCAUGACCCAAAGUUGAUUUUUCCGUCAUCACUCCAUGACCAAACACAUAAAAAAAUAAAUGCCUAGAUAAUUACCUUGUUGGACAUAAAUUGUACCCGGACUUAAAACAAGAAUCUCGAGUUAUAUCUCCUUCCAAAACCAUGUCCUUGUUUGGUUGGUGCAAGCUGAUGUACCUUAUCCAGUUUGCCUGUUUUUAAGGAUCGCCAUGUUGCUUUAUCAACCUAACCUAGAAAAGACAUGUCCGAUCAUUUUCUUAAGUUUGAUGCCUUUGGUUUCCUCAUAUCUCUCGAAGGCAUACCAACUUAAUCUUCUAAUUGUUUUCCCUCCGUAUCUAAUAGAUACAAAUCCUUGACCUUGUAAUCCCUAUGAUGGGCAUAGAAAUAUGUUUGGGGCUGAAUUAAUAGUCUCCCAUCAUACUCCUUUCAUCAAGUUUAGGUUAUGGCCAUGCCUUGUUCAUUUCAUUGGGCCAUGAUCUAUUUGGCUCUCUACUUGUAACCAUUCUUACAGGUGGAGUCUCUUUUGAAUAUUGCCAUUCAGACUCAGUCUAUUUGUGUCGUGCGAGAUUUGUUAUUGGUUAAGUCUGAUAAUGGUGUUGUGACUAAAACUGAUGGUGCCGCAAUGAAACCGAGGGCCUCCUGUGGAUGCAUACACAUGGUUGCGCUACUCGGCACGCGCUGGUAUCACGGUUAGUAGUUAUAAUCCAUUAUGAGACUAUAUCAAUGUGUUAUCUUGUCACAAAUUGUUCUUACCAUGUGAGAUUCAUUAUUGGUGCCAGUUCGGUAAUGGUGUCACGAUUAACGACUUAUGGUGCCGCAGCGAAACUGAGAGCCCCUUGUGAAUGUACACGCAAGGUUAUGCUGCUUGGCGCAUGCUGGUAUCGAUGUCUCUAGUCAUGAUCCAUUGUGGAACUACACUGAUGUGUGAUCUUUCGUGGAGUCCUCCCUUGAAACAAUUUCUAUGUUGUUUGUCAAGUGAUCAAGCAACAUCUAUCAUCUUUGUUGGAUCAAAAGGGCAUACCACUUUCAUGUGUGGUCUCUUUUCUUUUGAUCUUGGUAGUGACUACUCAUACAAGUUCCCUUUACAUCCUUUGUGUAAAGGUGAAGCCUGGGAACUUUUUAGUGUUGGAAGACAACUGAUUAGUUCUCAAAAUGAAGAUUGUUGGUUUCCCCUGCUGCUGAAAUGCAGGAGUUUGUUCAUUCGCUCUCUUAAUUAAUCCAUGUAUUCCCUAACCAAAUUCGAUCAUCUUGCCUGAAGAAAUGGAUGAACAACCUGACCAAAUGGAUUCUACCCAAAUGCAUGACCUUUUGCUAACAAGAGUGAACUCUCAACCCUUGGCUUACCGAAGGUACUGAGAGAAUUUGCUCAAGGUCAAAAGUAGUUCAACAAGUUGGUUUUACUAACUUGUAAUUGCCCAAUGAACAAAGGUUGAGUUUAGAGAUCGUUUUAUCAAGUUGUCUAAACUCACUUUUGUACAACCCCUCUUAAGGAAGUGUUUAUAAAAAAUCAAGUUAAAUCGACUGAUAACCACCUAAUGAUCGCUCUAGUCAUGCCUCGAACGCCUCACGUGUGCUUUUCCAGCAUGUGUGAUCAAGUCGAGCCAUGCCCAGUGAUUGAUAAAAUGGAUUGGUUACGAAGGCAGUAUCUGCCUAUCCCUUCGCUGGUGAUUUUGCGAGUCUAUCAUUUUCUUGGACUUGGAUUUUCUAGCUAGCCACGAGUUAAAUGUGAUGUUAUUCGACAUUCACACCCGUCUCGUGUGCUAUGAACUUACCGUGACCACUUGUUGGUAAACCUCUUUCUGUGUGUUUUACCCAAGAGGUUGCAUCUGGUUCUGUGUGGGUGAAAUCACGUAUUAGUCGCUCGCUCAACAGACUCAGAUAGUAUAGUGUCAUCAGAAAAAGCAAACUGCACACAUGGAACCUUAUGUGUUCCUCUGGCAGACAUCGUCUCUACUGGUGGACAUCUCUAAAUUAGCCUAAGGCGAUACAUGUUAUGUCCACUAGAGAAACGACAUCCUGAGACACUCGCCUUUAUUUGGAAAUGUCUCACGAUUAUCGCUGAUAUGGACAUGGGUUACAUGCUUCUCUACUCUUAGAAGUCUUUCGUUCUGAAUCUCGGGACGAGAUUCUUUUAAGGGGGGAGGGUUGUAACACCCCAGGUGUUUAUCGUCUGCUCGACCACGAGUGCGGACUUUAACACGUAAUAUCAGUGGAUAAAACGGAUGCUAAAUUUUAAACAUCUUUGUCUAUCGCGAUUUUAAUAUCGCAUCUGUUUCAUUUGUCGUGAGUUCGACAUUGUUUUUAUUUAUCUGGGCUCUUCCUAAAUUUUCGUGAUGUUCGGAACAUAGUUAUUCCGAAAAUCGGUGCGUCCGGUGAUUAUUUAAAAUUCAUCGCUCGCGCGAAUACGAAUUUGGAAGCUCGAUCCACCGUUGUGACCCAUAUUCCAAAUAAAUUAAUUAUAAUUCGAUGAUUAAAAUACUCAGUGCAAAAUAAUUGGGAUCUCGUUUUGUCUGAGAGAAAUCGUGCGCAAGUCGAUAAUCAAGUAUUCGGAUUGUUAGCCGAUUUUGUUUCCUAUUUCAAAGUCAAGUAAAUAAUAAGAUGAGAGAAAAAGUAAAAUCGUUUUCACUUGUCUCAUAUUUAUGCGUGUGCCUUGGUAAAAAAAAAGAAAAUAUGUUCUCGCAUUUUCCUUCAGGCGUUCUCGUCACUUUAUCCAUCUAUUCCGUGGAGCACCAAUCACCGCCAUAUUCCCUGGAGUCUAGGAUUUUUUUUUGCUCGCGAACUCUUAUAUCUCCCAGCCGAUAUUUUCUAUUAUGCUGUGUCCAAAUUCCUGGAGAAAAAAAAUCCUAUACAUCUUCAUCUAGCACGCACAUUUUCUCUCCUUAUCCUCGCACCGCUCUGCACCUGGAGGCUCUAUCUGUUCAUCUCUCUCAUCCAAUAGCUGUUCAUUUGGUAAAAAAAAUUUCUCUUCGUUAUCUGCAAUCGCCGCUCAGUACUUGGAAGAAAAAUCUGCCGCCUUCGUCGUUUGAUUUUUCUGCUGCCUAGCUUCGCAGAUUUUUUUCCAGCCAUCCCUAUCCUACGCCGCCCUCUCGCUUGAUAUUCCUGGUGGCCACCGCAUACAAGCUUCUUCCUCACACGCGUGCCGCAUACUUCUCUCUCAGGUGCCCCUCGUCUCCUCUCGGCCACAGUCGGCUUCAUCCACUCCGGUCAUGAUCCUCUCCCAGUGAAUCUCCCUGCUCGCCUCCAUGGCCCUGGUCGUCGAGCUGCCGGGCCGAGUCUGCUUGGCCGCCGGCCAUCUCCAGUGCAUCUCGGUCCCUCUCCGUUCCCUGCUUCUUGGUUCCGACCGCCGUGUACCUAGCUCCUUGCUCGUUCAUGGCGCUCGACGUUUAGAUUUCCUGCGGGUCGCGGCUUACCUUCUGCCAAGUCCCGCAUCUCCAUGGCGUGGACGUCUGCGUCCUCCCAUCUCUGCUCCUCCCUGCCCCAGCCGCAUCCGACCAAAACGCUCCUGCGCCCUGCUCGCUCCCUGGAGCUUUUUCCUGCGCACGCGCCGUGCUCUCAUCUCGGGAUUUCCCUGUUGUUCAGCUCGUCACGCCCGACUGUAUCUCCCGACCACGCAGCUGUGGCCUCUGCUCGGAUUCCUGUUGGCCGCGCCCCCUAUUUCUCCGGGCCGGUCAAGUUCUUUCCGACCGUGAGCUCUCUCGUGUGCGCGUUCAGCCGAGGCCCCAUCCCCUGCUGUGACCCGCCGCGAAUUUUCCUGCGCGCGUCGCCGUCGAGUUCUCGGGUGUUUUCGCACCGUGAAGUUCCUCUAGCGUCGUGGCUUCUCAAUUCCUUCUAGUCACGCGCGCGAAUUUUCUUCGCUCGACUUUAAUCCCCAAUCGCGUCGUCAACCUCGUCGUUCGUCGUCACGACGUUCGCCGUUAAGCCUCACUGCCAUUCCUGCUGUGCCUCGCUUCCGGUGUGUUCGAUUAAACGUCGGACCAAGAAUCCAAGAUGUUGCUCAUCCUUGCUGUGAAAUCCUCACGCUCACCAUUCUCUAUUCGAUCUCGUCGUCAAGCUGAAGGCCGUCGUUGUUCAGGCAACUACCAAAUCGAGUUGUGAUGUGGUGAGCCGAUUCGCUAUUUUUACUCUCGGUUUUAUGAUCGUAAAAUAAGACGCUUUGUAUAAGUAUACUAUUAAGUUAGAAAUACCAGUAAUGCGAGGUGUGCGCUUGGUAAUUAUGGCUAGAUCCGUUAUUAUGUCGUUAGGUUGUGUGAUGUUAUAGGGUCGAUGAUAGAAGUGGAAUUCUAGCUGUUGGGCGAUGACGGGAAGGACGUUGUUCAUCGCAUGCUUAAUGUUUGAUGGAUAGUCUGAACCGGAAACAUUGUCGUUCUCAUGAAUUUUGUAUCGACUAGUAAUAAUACACUGGAUUCGCUAGUUUUUAAUAUUAGUUCAAGACUUGGAUCAGUUCUCUAGACGGUAGUAACCGUGCGUCGUGGUUGUAUAAAUUGUUUAUUAAAAUGCUUCAUCGUAUAUAGUGUAUUGGUUUAUAUAUAUAUAUAUAUAUAUAUAUAUAUAUAUAUAUAUAUAUAUAUAUAUACAUAUGGGAUGUGUAGGUGAUGAGUAGGGUAGGUUUAGUGUUCUAAUUAAUUAACUAAUAAGUUGUGUUUAGGCUAAUUAUGUUAAAUAUGUAUUGUUUGUAUUUCGUAAUGUUUGCGUUAGAUUCGGUUAAUCUAGAGAAGCGUAAUUAUUGCGCUCAGUCGUACGUCAAUAACUAGUGUUUUCGGAUAAAAUAGUGCAACGCCUCGCCGCUAGGUGUUUAAUUCGCUAUCGCGUAGUACUAUUUAGGUUUGAAAUAUUUCGGUCUAUAUGCAUUCAUGUGCAUAAUGCAUUCCAUUCAGGUACGAUAAUUAAUCACGUGAUGCGGAAGAUGACCCAAGUCGACCCCAAGCGCGGCUACUCCGCAUGGAGAUGCUGAUGAACGAACCUGCCUGAUCAAGUGCUAGGACAAGGAUGAUCGUCAAGUGGACGUCACCUAACAACACUAACCUAGUGUUACCCAGGCAAGCCCCGGUGCAUGCAACCCCUUCCUUGUAUUUUUAAAUAAUUUUUACACACUUUAAGUCUAGUGAAAUGUGCAUUAAGUUUAUAGGAGUUGCUUGGAACCCUUUGAUGCAUUGCCUUCCUUGAUAUCCAUACCUUUAUAGAUACUUCUGAUGAAGUAUCAAAAUAUGAUUUACAAAAUUUGCUUAGCCUUGCUUAGAGGUAAAUCUUGUGGAUAGAGGUUGUCCUUUGCGUUAAUGCCUAGCUCAGGGGUUAUCCUGAGGAAGGAUGGCUUCUGCCUGCAAGAAUAUUUUCAUUGGGAGCAAUGGUGGGAUCUUACUGCAAAGUUCCCUUUGAUGCUCUUUUCAUCCUAAGGAAUACAAACAAUCCUAAGGGUGGAAGUACUUAAAUCGGGACUUGGGCUAGGAACAGGUGAUGCUCCGCCCGGGUCAAUUAAGGAUUGGAUGCGUAUGUAGGCCUGAUAGAUCAAGGACUAUCUUAACUGGCCACAUGCCCUGGAAAUGGGACAGGGUAAGCUUGAACCCGGCUAUUCCAUACGUGAAAAGACAACCGCGCACUGGGCGUGGGA